CCAGCAGGGGGCGCCACAGGGCCACGGCUCGGUCGUGCGUGCGCUAAGUCACCCGGCCGUGAGUUCCUGAGGUCGCAGCCGCCCCGCCUUGUUCGGGUUUCCGCGGGGCGUGGACAUUGGGAGGAUUGCUUCCCCUCUGCGAGUCCGCUUGAGUUGAGGACGCGAAGGCGGUCCAGCCGCGCCCCUGUGUAUUCUUAGCUGAGGAUGUCCCCGCCUAGGUAGGGUACGGUUUACGGCCAGUCCUCAACUCUGAAAAUGAGUGCGACUCGGCGUUUAAUAAAGGUAGCCAUGCUGAGCAGGGCUUCGGAGGACAGGCUCGGAAGGGAGUGGGCCGGGGAAGCCACACGCCCAGGAACCCUUGGCUGGGCACAAAAGGAAACUGACCGGGACUCACCUGGGUCACGGCUGCCACCCUGCGGACAGGAAGCUUGGAAGGUGUAUUUUUGUUUUUACCUGCAUGUCUGCAUCAAGUGCGUGCAGUGCCUGUGGAAGCUGAAAGAGGUCGGACGCAUUGGAACUGGAGUUACAGAUUGUUGUGAGCCACCAAGUGGGUGACCAGGCUAGCCUGGCAUUCAAAGAUCCAACCUGCCUGUACCUCCAAGUGCCGGGAUCAAAGGCAUGCAGCACCACCACCCAGGCUGCACGAGUGAUUUAAGAGAUUUAAAAUUUGCAGUUGGAUUUCCAGUUAGCACCAUGGCUCAGUGGGUAGAGAAGCUGAAAAGCCUGGUCAUCUGAGUCUGAUCCCUGGAACCCACAUAAAGCGGAAGGAAGGAAUCCAGUGCACAGAACCGUCCUCUCACUUCCACACGAGUGAUUUUGGCCCCCGCGUGUGCACACACACUGCGUUUACAUACACAACAAUAAGUAAAUCAGCUAUAGUUCUUAGA